ensembl:lncRNA
CCAGAAUAUUCCAGCCAUUUUUCACUCACUUACCAACAUCUUCCGUUUUAAUGCUCGUUAUGAAUGUUUGUAGAUCCUUUCCACUCAUCACUGUGGAGCUUUAUCUUCAUGCACCAGAGUACCUUCAAAAUAAAUACAUUAAUUAUUGCGCUGCAAACACAUGCACAGCUUUGUUGCCUACAAAAAAAAAAGUUUGGUGUGACAUUGUUUAAAAUGCUAGUUAACAUCAACAAGUUUUAGUGUACUGCAGCCAGUGUGUGUGUGAUAUACUGCUGGAAUGUUUUUUUUUUCUUUUUUGCCUUUGUUUUGGAUUAAGCUUGGAAAGAUUUUCGCACAGGAUUCAUCUCCUUUCAAAUGCAUGGUGUGUGAAGAGAUGGGAUGAACUAUGCAGGAAUUAAUUUUUUUAUGAUAGGAGGGAAAACAGAUGCGCUGUUCUGAAUCCUUUUCUAUUUUUUGCCCAUGUCUCCAUUACAUAUAGACUUAAAUACCAAUUUUAAGGACAGCAAAAUUAUUAUUUUUUCCAUUUCAACACCAAAUGGCAAGCCAAGGUUAGGAUUCAAGACAUAGGUCAUUCUAGAAAUGUCAAUUUUUCUGUCCCUGGCUUUUACUACACUUAAAAACCACUUUAUUUACAAUUUAUUUCCAUGUUAAAUUUGAAUAUUUUUUCCUUCCUCAUCCAUUAAAUUCACAAUAUCUGUUUUUUUAAUUAAAUUAUAUAGAAGAACAGGCACCACCACAGCGUUUGUCCCCACAGUGGAGUAUGGUGGGUAAAGGCUGUGUUUUUUUUGUUAUAUGUUUUGCAUAUAAGUUUUUGCAUCAAAUCAAUCAGAUAUGUUAAAAAUAUGAUGACUGUGACAAAAUGAAGCAAAAUGUGAAAUAAAUAUUGUAAGAUAUAUAAAGACAGUCAUGGUCCCUUAAAACUGUGUCACUGGUGUUAUGAGAAACGUUUAUUAUUUUGAAACAAAACAUCCCAAUAAUGACAUCACUUGACUUACUAUCACAGAUUUCCUGAAGCACUAUAAAGAAAUGGUCAUGAUGAGACCAGUGUCUCUUUUCAUUUAUCAGAUUUUUUUCUGUUUUAUCUUGUAAUUUCAUAAGAAGCUUUUAGCUGAAGUCACUAAUACGACACAGUUAGGAAAUUGUUAAAGAAAAACAAAAACAAAACAACAGAAUAUAAAUAGAUUAAAUGACAUAAUUUGCUGAGUAUAAGAUGACUGACAUCAUGUGUGCGCAUAGUAAAGCGCUAUAUAAAUACAGGCCAUUUACCAUUUACCAUGUGGUUUGAUGCUUGCAGCAUCUAUUUUGUAAAAAGCAUUUUCCAUGAAAACUGUCACUGCUGUUACCUUCCUUAUGGGUAACAUUAGACCCCUGAGAUAAUAAUUUUACAUCCACUGAAAUUUGGUACAGGUACAGGUUAAGAUAUAAAGAAUGGCAUUGUCACUCAUUUUAAGUGUUCUUUAUAUGCUUUCAUUUGAUUUUAUUGCUAAUAAAUGGCUUUGCAAAUAUCAUACAUUGACGCUUUGAACAAACGCUUUGAAAUAAUAAAAUAUUAUCUUAUGAUUUUUGCAUUAUCAUUGCAUUAUUCUAAAUAAUAAUUAAUAGAAGCCCCCCAAAUUUGCAUAAUGAGUAAGAUAACACCAGUGACGAAAAGGUGGCACGUGGGGUAAAUGUACAAAAGAAAUAUUUUUUUAAAAAUCAUUAGGUUGUCUUUUUUUUUUUUUUUUUGCUGUUAAAACUAUGGCCAUACAACUAACCUAAAUAUUUUCCAAGCCAAGCUCUGUUAAUUUACUUUACCGACUUUUACCAAUUGUUAUAUUACUUAAUUAAACUAGAAAACGCUUAACUUUAUCAUUGUCAUAGCUGCUACUGCUAUAGUUUAGCGACAGUACUUAGGUAGAACUUAUGCUCAACCUCACAA